UGUCAGCAGUCACCGGGAACCGGCCGGGACACCGCCAGCUCCACUUGAUUAUAAAGUCCCAAAGUCCUGCAGACCUGCUGCUGAGCGACUGCCAAACGGUCGGUGAGAGUUCCGUGACCUACUUGGAGGUAAAAGUUUAAAAAAAAUAAAAUAAAGAGCGCUGCUUAUUUGGAAACAUCCAUCCAUUUGCGCGCAACAAGAGGAGUACAACAACAAGAACAGAAAGAAAAAAAAAGUGAGGACGCAUGGACACGAGGGACCAGAGGGGAGGAUUAGGGAGAAUCUGUGGAACUAAAAUGACCAACGUGGCGCCAGCAGCGGAGCCAAAGACCCGCCUCUGAAGUCUAGAUGUGACCGUCGAGCCGGCCAUGGAGAACGAUCUGAGGACGGGCCUGUCUGUGUGGGCCAUCGUGGCCAUUGUUUGUAACUCUGUGGUUGGCAUCCUCAUCCUCGUCCUCUUCGUCAUCCUCUACAAGGCCUGCAAGGUGCCUUCACACCCGGAGAAAAUGCCAGUUUUCACAGCGAAACUGGACCAGAAGAACCCUGAAGAGAAGUACAUACUCACUGCAGCCUAAUCAAGAUUUGAAGACAUAACCUUGAGAUGCAGAGAAAAUCCAACUUUGGAAAUAUAAUGGAGUUCAUAAGAUGAGUUUAAGAUAACCAGCUGGGCUUCGGCAGCUCAUUCAUACAAGUCCCUGUUUUCACUCACUGUCUCCUUUUGGGCUUCGUUCUAUUUUCAUCUCUCCGCCAUCAUCCCAAUCUCAUCUGUGCCAUUCAGCAGAGCUCGGAGUAAGCUAACUGCAUUAAGAGUUGCAGCAAGACCAACAGCAACAACAAGCAAGCCCAAUCCUCUUAUCUCUGCUGUGCGUCGCUGGGACUGUCCAUCUGUCAGUUAGUUUGGUUCACUCUGCACAGGCCGACCAUGAUCUCCUCCUCUGCUCCAUUCUUUUUCAUCCCUCCGUACGAGACAGCUGAGUGGGUAUGGAAGGAAAACAGCAGAGGCAACUGGACUGAAGGAGCUAGAGGUCACAAGAUUGGUUGAGAGUCACAAUAAAAAAUAGUUGGAAAAGAGAAAAGAUAGCUCGCAAAGCAGUUUGGUUUGGUAAUCAUGGCAGCAGCGGAGCGGCAAACAAACAAAAGGUAGACUAAAAGCUUAAGCGACGCAGGAAGAAGAGAGAGGUUGUUGCAGGAAGUGUGUGAUUCAAGACAGACGGAGAUAAAGUUAGGUUUACAUUUGGUGGGGAUGAUAAAGUGCAGGGGAUGAAUUGGAAAAAGGGGAUGCUUUGAUGUGUUGUUGACAGAAAAAAGGAGCUGGAGGGUCCUGUCUGACAGUCUCCCCAUUCGACACACAAGCCUCUGCUUCCACCGAUUCAACUCCCAUGGGAUUAAAAAGUAACAGCAAAAAAAAUGUUAGUCAUGUCCCGGUGUGCCUCCCUUUUAUCCUGUGAGCUCUUCUAAAGACUGAAUAAGGUAUUUAUAGACAGCCAUCAUCAGAAACGACUGACUGACAGAACACUCGGUCUCACACAUACAGCCGAAUCUUGUGUUUAUUGUAGUGAUGUGCAGCUAGCAGUGUGGUAUCAAGAUUACGUUCAGGACCGAAGCGAGAAAAUAUCAAACCCAUCAUAAUUUCAUCUCCACAUCAGAGUAAAAAAUAAUGGUCUAUUUGUACAGUAAAUACUAUUUUCAUUAAUGGAAGGGCUCUACGUGGAUUUUUUAAUUAAAAUUUUGUUUGAGGAACAUCUGUUGUAAUCUAAUCUCAGGUUAACGUGCUUUUUCAAUUUGAUAAAAAUGAGCACAUUUUAUUUUCCGUGCAGUUCUGCUUAAUUUACAGGUUAUUUCUGUACAACUUGUGAUGAUGAGCAGUGAUUCAUGCGAAAAAGACCGCUUGUUUAAUUGAUUAAUCAGAUUAAAAAAUGUAAGAAAUGUCUGUGAAAGUUUAAAAUGCAGUUUCUUGUGUGUGCGGAUUUGCUGAUGUUCUUUUCAGUUCCAUAUCACUGUAAACUGUAGAAUUCUGUUUUUGUUCAGACUUGAAGGCAUAACUUCUGAUCUGUUAUUAUAUUUAUUUUUCUGGGCAAAAUGAUUAAUAUUAUAUACAGAAUAUUUAACAGCACUGAUCUUGGAAAUAAUUCUUUGUUGCAGCCCUACACUUGUAUGUAAUUGCCAUUGUGCUCUACGCCUUGUAAUGAUGGCAGUUUAUUUUUUUACCAACAAAAUAAAACGAUUUACUCUUGUUUAUAA